rnacentral:rRNA from 1 species
CUUGGUCAUUUAGAGGAAGUAAAAGUCGUAACAAGGUUUCCGUAGGUGAACCUGCGGAAGGAUCAUUAAAAAAUAAUCUGGGGGUAGGAUCCAGUGGCUUUAGCGCUUCUGCGAUAUGGUACACGGCUCUCCUACCUGUCUGGCUAUUUAUACCCUUGAUUUUGCGUACCGUUGUUUCCUCGGCAGGCUUGCCUGUCGCUAGGACCCUUUUAAACUCUUUGUAAUUGCAAUCAGCGUCAGAAACUAAUAAUAAUUACAACUUUCAACAACGGAUCUCUUGGCUCUGGCAUCGAUGAAGAACGCAGCGAAAUGCGAUAAGUAGUGUGAAUUGCAGAAUUCAGUGAAUCAUCGAAUCUUUGAACGCACAUUGCGCCCCUUGGUAUUCCAUGGGGCAUGCCUGUUCGAGCGUCAUUUGUACCCUCAAGCCAUGCUUGGUGUUGGGUGAUUGUCUACUCGCUUGGGUAGACUCGCCUCAAAUUCAUCGGCAGCUGGUAUUCUGGUUUUAAGCGUAGCACAAUUACGUUUCAUUCUGGGGAGCCCGCGUCCACGAAGCACAUUAUCACGUUUGACCUCGGAUCAGGUAGGGAUACCCGCUGAACUUAAGCAUAUCAAUAAGCGGAGGA